GGGCAGGUAUCCCCUAAAAUUAGCCGUCUAGAAGGCCGAGGUCGAUGAUUUUUCAGGGUUCCCAGUGUGUCAACAGCUGUUCCAAAUUUCCCUUCUCUUUAGCUUUUAGUCUACUGUUUGAUUUUUCCCGCCCAAACCGUCCCCUUCUCCUAUGCCCGAUCGGGCACGCGCCCAAUCCUGCAAAAACUGACCGACGGAGACGAGAUAAUCCCCGAAGGAACCCCAAGAUCAUCGACUUUCCCGCUUCGCGGGCCUCCCUUUUCUUUUCCAUUUUUCCCUUCCUUCUUCUACUUCUAUCUGUUAUACCAGAUAGAACCGACAUUUCCUAUUCGAACAGAGCGUGACAUCUGGAAACUGUGCGCCUAUUGGAUCGUUUUAGAUCGUUGGAUCACAAGACGCAGUGUCUUGUUUCGAUAGAAGGGAGCGCAGAUGCGAGGAAGUCGCUCCUGGUGAAUUAUUGGCUGAGAGAAGAACGCUGCUAUUUGGAUAUCGGUUUGCAAUGCGUUUCCUCCGGCUGUGUAUUCAGUCAGGCGAUAAUCGCGGUUAAUUGCGGAUGUGUAUGGCGUGGAUUGACGGAGGGAAUUCGACAGGGGGUGAUUACAGGAAUAGCGCUAACCGCUUCUGUAAGAGAGAAUGUUUCUAAGUUAGGAAAUUUGACAAUACGAGAAAGUAUGGCUAAGAAAAUGAAAAUAACUGAGAUUUCGAUGUUACGUGAUUUUUCGAGCUGAUUCGAUUCUGUAAAAUCGACGUGCUGGAUGAUUGAACGGUGGCCCAGUAAAUCCACCAUGGGGUUGAAAUCGACACAAGACUUUCCACCUCUGUUCACUCCCCUAUCCGUUUCCGUGAAAUAUAGAUAUUAACCUUUUGCGGUUCGAUGAGCGUUUCCCUUUCCAAGAAAUCGGAAUAAAUUAAUCGGCAAAAACGUUUGUAGCCAUACGCUCCCUCACCAACCCUACUGUAGCAAAUAUAUAUAUGAUAUUGAGAACAAUUUCUUUUAUCAACGUACAUAAAAGUAACUCUAUCUACUUUCUCGUAAUACAAACUCCUUCGAACGUAAACAGUAAGAUUUAGAUUGUCGUUUAAAAAGUAUGUAGGAAUUGUAUAACAUACACACGACGCUAGGAAAAAUCCUAAGGACUCCUAUAGCCCCGCAAAAGACCAAACACCAUACGAAUUCCUCCAUAAUACAUCGUUACAUAAAUUAAAAAUAGAAUUGAAAAUUCAAGUAAAAAGUACUAAAAUCAACUCGGUGACCUUCCGUAACCGUACACCAAUUUCUAUUUCUUCCUAAUCAUCUUCUCUUUACUCGCUAGAUACUUUUACGUCGGUUUACAUUUUUAAGCUAUAAUUGCGCGAGCAAAUUUGAAAUAUUAAUGCCUUAAACAUAUUUACAAGUUCCAAACUCUACCGAUACGACCCUGAUAAAUCGAGUCUCGAUACAGUGCUAAUAAAAUUUCAAAAUGUUACGUACAGUAACGUAGUUUAGCUGUAGUACAUUGACCACGAAAGAAGCGUGAAAAUUUUCGUUGCCAAAUACGGGUUAAGCGAAAGCACUGAAAAGAGAGGAGAGCCUGUAACGAAAUAGAUAGAAAACGAGGAGGAGGCAAAAGUCGGUUUGUACAGUAGCCAGCCAGCUAGGCGAGUCGCGCACAUACAUCAUCCCCGAGCGCGUAUCUCUUUCGUGCGUGCGUUCGUGCGUGCGCGCGCGCGCGCGCACCUACCUACGUCCCUUCUUCUCCGUCAGGAGGUUCGUCUCUACGCACUCGACUCGACGCACCGUCGAGCGGGAGUCUGCGAUCAAUGCGUGGCACUGGCACCGGUCGUCAUGGUAACGGUGCGCGCCACGCACAGCGAACGAACGAUCCGCCUCGAUCGUGCGUAAGUGCGUGCUCGCGUAGCCCCGCUGGCCCCUGGUGCGCUCGCGCUCAACCACCGCACCGUCAGGGGUGUACACGAGCGGCCGUGUGUGCGUGCGUGCAUGUGAGUUCGUACGCGAGGGGCACGAGUCGCGUCGUGCUACCUACCGCCGCUUUAUGUGCGUAAGGAUCCAGGUUGAGGUUUUCAGAAACACACUCGAGCCUCUAGGAGCUGGCGGAAGCUGCGAGAACUCGCAAUCUGCGUUUCGCGAAUCGAAUCUUACCACGGCUGACAUUUUUUACCGAAGUACCAGACUAUUGCCUCUGCCGUUUCGUAACAUUUUCAUAUCGCUCUUGUCGUAUCGAGUUUGAUGGAUGUCUCGGAAUAUCUAAAGUCGGGGAGCAUUUCUUGGAAAUUUUUAGAUGAAGAUUUAAAGGACUGGGAGUUUGGAGGGGAAAGCAGAAAUGGGAGGUUGGUACCUUGGUUGUUGUAACUUGAUGUGGUUCUGACAAGGAACGAAGGUUUUACGCUUCUUAUUGAGAUAUCAGCACGCCUUUGCACGAUAAUUUACUAUAUAAGCGCGUAAUAAUAUCGGCGAAUUGACUAGUGGCAAGUUGUUGGUUAUAGACACGUUUUCUAUGACUUCAUCGGUCUUCCUUAGGUAGGAUAAUCGGGUAACUUAUAAUUUGUAAAUUUGCCAGGGAAUCUUGCAAAUCAAAUGUUAGAACAGUCUCUGUUACGAACCAUUUACUUUGGUUUUUUUUAGAAAUUCUAGAAAUUUUUAUGGUAAGAUGAUCUUCCAGUACAAGGUAAGUAUUUGAAUAAGCAAGGUAUAAAAAGUAGACAGGAAUCGAUAUUGAAUUUUUCUACAGUCAGAUACGCUGUUAAAUAUACUUUAAAAAUCACUUGGUAUUACGACUUUUCCUUUGUCAAGCAAUGAAAUGCAUAUAAGAAGAAUACAUAUAUAACGAUGUACGUUUACACACAUGCUACAUCCUGUCACAUCCUACCUACGAUCAUACUUCGUCUCUAAGAGGACAUUUUCGGGGAAUUUACGUAUUUUAACUAAAACAACCCUCGAGAUAUAUGGCUCAAAUUAAAUAAUCAACUACCUACGAGAAUUUUUUAGCAAUCAUGUCCCGAAACUUCUUAAGGGUAUUACAAGAAAGUUUGCCUUUGGUAUAAGUAUAAGAACCUUGACUUAAAUUUCAUGCGAGAAGCAAUCACUUGAAAAAAGAAAUUACCUACGCAUUCGCAACUUAGCUUAGAAUUGUUCAUUUUCACGGACAUGAUAAUUUCUUAAAACGAGAAUAUCGGAAUGCUAUAAUUCUUAGCAAAUAUAAAUCACCACACUAUCCAUCUCACAAUCAACGAUCGUUCGAGAAAACAAUUUAACAUUCGCCGCUUUAUUUGCCUUACAAUUAAUUUACAUACCUACAAUUAACUUUAAUUUCCUUGAAACCAGGACACUGAACACUUACGUAUCUCGUGAUCCGAUCUAAAUAAAACUCGAUAACAACGAACAUUUACUUGCAAAUACAAAAUCAAGAAUCUAGGUCUACAGUCAGGACUCUGCCUUGACACAUAGCUCGGCCAGAGCAUUCUAUAAAUAAAAAAGAAAAAAUCCACCCUUUUCUGCACGCGUGAAACGGCGCAACGAUGGCCACUCACACACCGUCAGGGUGCGUAAGCUUAGUUAGGUGUAGGCGUGCACGUGCGUAAGCACAGAGGCGCAAGCGUACGGGGCACGCACACAGAAGAGGCUAUCCUACGGGCCACGAGGAAAGUCGCAUAGGACCGCGUGUACAUGGCGCGGCGCGGCGGGCCGAGGCAACGAUCGAUGUCCCGCAAACUUCGAGCGGCAACGAGCACGUGGCACUUGUGUACGUACUCUAUAUAUAUUGCCGAGCGUACACCUCCACGCGGCCGAGGAAAAAACCGGAGAGGGAGAGAGAGAAACGGAGGGCAGGGGCAUGCUUAGCUUCCGGGUGCUGGCAUACUCCAUCCGGGAUCCGUGAAUUUUAGUAGAAAUUCGCUUUUACAAGAGCAUCGAUAGUUUGUAUUUUACGCGUAAUGAUACGCUAACCAAGUUCCGUUUAAGUUUCAAUUUUUACGAUAGAAUAUCUUGCACUCGAAUUUUCAGAAACCAGAUAAGGGUAGAAUUUAGCUUUUCGAAUUUAAAUCGGUAAAUUCUUAGACAUUCGUACGGGUUGGAUUUUUAAGAAGAGUAAGGAUGAAAGGGAUGUUUCUGGAUAUCGUAAGAGAUGUGUGUGAUGUCAAAGAGAUUGGAUUUAGAGUGGAAUUGGAAUAAGUAGAUAGAAGUAACGCGUAACAAGAGACGAAGCGGGAGGAUGUAGAUCGUUUCGUGUAAAGUUCUGUAGGAAGCUCAUAGAAACGUAUAACGUAAGAAUAAAGAAUUCAUCGAGCAGGUUUUUGGCAAAUCAAAUCAAAGUUCGCAAAAUACGGAACUGCAUCGCUUUUCUUUCCUAUGUCCGCGCGAACGAUAUUGGAAGGGUCGAGGGCAGGCGGGACGAUCGUCGAAACGCUGGGUGCAGACGAUGUUCACGGGGUGAGACCGAAAUGGCAUGCAACGGAAGGGUCUGUGUCGGAGGGCGAACGUCGGAGGUGAGGAACAAGAGGCGGGAGGACCCUACCUAAAGCAAAACACAAGACCGCGGGAUGUUUCGGCUAAGCGGAAAGGGUUUAUGGAGAAUUGGGGUAUCUCGUAAACUUGACCUAUCUGACCACGCGCUUAGGACAUUGUGCACCAGUGUCAGGCAAGCGGAAGUGGGUCAAAUUAAAUAUUAACCAAACUCCGCCGAAACUCUGUGACCAUGCUGCCUGUAUAGGUAUGUAAAAUGACGAAAUUUCUGACCCACGUGAGAUCUAGACGCAAACGAGACACAUUGCUAGUGUGCUUCUGUGAAAUUUUUAGGCAACGCGCGUUUCUCUGUCAAGAUGAGAGGAACAAGCAGAACGGGUAUUAAGCACUUGUGAAUAUUUUAUGUAUACAAUACAGCAUCUACGUUUAUCUUAUGUUUCAGCGAUGACUCGAGUAGUACAAUGUAUCUGGAUUUACAACGGCAUUAGAUGAUUCGUGCAAACAUUCGUGUUUCCAUUCGUACUCGUAGAAGAAUUCUUGGAAAUGUAAGCAUAAAUUACGACCAGUGUCACGAUCGUUAGUGAUCGUAAUAAACGUGAGUGACAAUCUGAUGGAUUAGUCAUCCUCGUGGUAUACUUAGAAGUUUUAUAGAUCUCAGUUUAUGAGGCCGAAAAUUACUUUGAACGUGUUAUUUCCUCCUUUAAACUUCCUUAUUAUAAACUAUUCUAUUUCAUUAACUGAAUCCAUACAAGUAUAAAGUAACCUACGAUAUAAUUAUAAUAAAAUAUCGUUCGUCGUUAGUAAUUAGAAAACUCCACAAUGAAAAUCGUUCGGAAUCGAUUGAAAUCGAUCUACCUCUCGAGUAGGAGGUAAAAGGGAGGUGAGUACGAAUUCCGUUUCCGGAAAAAUCCGGUUGAAGGUAAUAAAGGCCGCGCGUCGACGCGCUGGCAGAAGCGGCAAUGGUUGAACGAAAGGGUUAGAGGUUCGAGAUUAAAAGGAAGUCACCCCCUCUGCCCCACCCUGCCCCUUCCCCCUCGUCUCUCCAUCAAUCACAAUUAUAUCCUCUCUCUCCCCAGCUAUCGUUCAUAAUUACUGCUCGUGACUUUAUCCCGACGCUGAACGUCGCUGGACCGGGGCCGUGCCGUCCGCUUCGUUCCGCUCCAGCCGAUCAACGGGGAUAGGUGAUAAGAGCGAACGAAAGAAAGCCACGAAUCAGAAAGGGACGACCCGUCGACUCGCGUUCAACGUUCAACCACGGAAACCCAGCAAGUAUUUUCAUCCUUCUUCUAUCUGGUCAUUUUAUUUUUAAGAUUUUGCGAUAAGUAAUAGUAUUGAGAAUUUCCAAUUGGAGAAAGAAUGGAGAACUUUGUGGAUAUUGAAUACGCUGGGAAAACGAUAGAUUGAUAUUCUUGUCGUUUCUUUUCUUGUCCGUAUCGAUCUUCUUAAGAUCUUGUGAAAUAUCUAAGGUAAUAACAUCGAACGUUGUUAUUCGAGGAAAAGGUGGAGAAGUUGGUGGAUAUCGGAUGCGUUGGUGGAACGUUUUCUCGUUUCUUAUCGAAAAUUGUUAUUAGAGGGAAAGAAUCGAGAGCUUGACGGAUCCUGGACCCGUCGGAAGAGCGCUUGGUUGGCGCUUCGAUCGAGAAGGUUUAAAGCGAGCGUAGGCGGAUGCGAGGAUCGCAGGAAAUUUAUUUUGACGACGAGGAUUUGUUGUUUUCGAAUCGGUGGAAAGCGUUCGACAAAAGUUGAGUGUAACGAGUUCGCCGGAUGUUCGGCUAUAAAAAUCGUCGGAUAGAAUUUCCGGCAUCGCAUAGAGUUUGAUGCCGCGCAGUUUAUUCCUUCGCCCGUUGGCUGGAAAUAACUGUACGUCUUACUUUCAUCGAGACGUUGCGGUAUAAUCGAGCCCGGAGGGAAAGGAAAGGAGGAAGGAUAAAAAUCGAGCCGCGCUGUGAGACUGUCUUACUCGCCCUCCUUUUUCUCUGAUUGCGUGGCAACGAGCAAACGACAAAGAGGAAGAAAGUAGAACAGGGAAAUUGAGGAUUAACGAUGGAAGUAGAAGCGCAGAACAAUUGAACAUUUUGUAAUUCGUUGUAAACAGCGUGCGCGGGAACAGAAUCUUUCAGGUGAAAUUAAAGUAGGGAAAUUAAAUUAUGAAUUCAUUUUGGGAAAGGAAAAAAAGAAGAAGUGGAAAAUAAUUCCUAUUUCGGUGUAAAAAUAAAAUAUUCCAAGCGCAGACCAUAAUUUACAAUUGUAAAAUAUUAGACGAAAAAAAAAUAUAUAUAUAUGUAUAUAAUUAAUGUGUAUAAUUAAAUUAUAUGUAAAUAAUAUAAUUAAUAAUAACAAUCGGAUUGCAGGUAAUGUUUUUGUUUGUAUCGGUUAAUGUUUGCCGCGUAAUCCUCGAAGAACGAUAAACAAACAGAAACACAAAAGACCUAUUCCAAUGACCCCCGCAGGGAAAGAACCUGAAGCUACCUACCCUCUAACCAUAAACCGAAAAGGACCGUCAAAACAGGUGUCCAACGUCAUUUCUCACCUUUUCCCCCUAUCUUACCCAUUCCACCCUCAAAAGACAACAAACCUUCAUUCCCAAAGGCUAACUAUUUUACAGCACCCAACAAAAGUCAUUCUUAAAUACAAGCAAUUUCGUUCUCCGCCAAAUGCAAACUUCACUCUCCAAUGGUAGAGACAAUCGUUUUGAGUUCUUCCAACGAUACGGAAGAAAAUUUAGCUGAACAAAAAAUCCCACUUCUACCAAAGUUCUUCAGACGAUCUUAACUAAAAUUAAACUGGACGAAAUUAAUGCGAAAAAUUAGGAAAAACGGGUUUCUCUGGGGCAGCGGAAAGUCGCGCAGCAGCGCGCAGGAUAAUUGCGUGCGCCGAUAUACAGUUGGCCUAUUACCACCGUGAACAGAGGAAGAAGGAAAGGGAGAGAAAGAGAGGGUGAAUGUAAUAUAUACUUUCCUCCAGCAGGCGAUUUCAGCCCCCAUUGGUCUGUCCUGCUCCGUUCCCGGUCGGCCGCUUCGUUCGCCCUUCGGAGCUGCGUGCGCGGAAGCGCGCGCCCUUCCACGCGGGGUGCGUGCGCGCAUAUAAAUGGAAUCCCUUCAAGUAGCCUCGGUGCCCGCGUUGCCAUCCACCUCGUGUGCGUGUACCUCCCUCUGUACGCGCUUCUGGAUUACCAAGGGGGCGGACGGGGGUGGCUCGGCGAGGGCUGCCUCGACGACGAUAGUGCAACCCGAUGGCUAGCCACGCUCGUUCCCUUCCCUCUCAAUUUUACUCUUAGAUUUGGAAGAAUUUUGGGAACUUUAGGGUUUGCGGUAAUUGGAAGGACACAGUCGGGGUAGGUAAUGAAUGUAGAUGUUAUUAGGGAACGUAUGAGAUUUUGCACAAAUAGCUUUUGUUUAAUUAGCGGGAAUUUUCGGAUGAAAAUUAGGCAGUUGAAGUUUUCGGGACAUGCGAGUGACCGGAGGUAUGAAGGUUUUGAGGUGGACGUAGAGAUUUUUUGCAAUAUUUUCGGAAAGUAAAAUAAAGCAAAUAGUUUCAGUUGGAAGGUAAAGGAUGAAGUUGUUUCAACGACAUAUAAAGCCUCUUUGCGAUCGUUUCAGAAAUUUAGACGAAAAGAUUAAAAGAAGUUAAACGGGGUUUUACUAUCUCGUUACAUAAAAGCGCUCGGUUUCGAACAUAAGUAAAUGUUAUCUACGAUGUUUCCAAAGACUUCAAUAAAAAUUCUCAAAACGAUGCAUUUCCAAAAUAGGUUGGGAUCUCUGAAAAUCAGUAAACAAGCAACUCGACGAGAAUGUCUCUCCGGCAUCGAACUCUCGAGUUGCGAGAACUCGGCUGGCACUUCGCGAGGGAUCCGAAGCGUCUUGAGGCCAUCGCUAGUUGCAGGCACCGAGGGUAGGAAGCGCGUAGAGCACAAGUGCACGCGGAUAGUGGAUGUUAGGUUGGCCAGGCGAGGGUGGCCGAGGGGAUGGAAGGGGACCAGCAGGCCUCGAGAGUGAAUACGGCAUACAGGAGCAGCACGCACAAGUACACGGUUUCGCAGAGAGUGGAACGAAAUCUAUAGCACGCACUUACGCGGUUGUAUAUGCGUAUACGCGUACGCGUACCGCCGCACCCCGAGGACACUGCCACCGAGGGAGAAAGGGAAGGGGAGAGGGAGAAGCUUUCAAUUUUUCCUGCUGCCUUCGCGACCAGCCGGAAGCCGAGAUUCUUGCGGAAGAAUACGCGCCAUCCAUGGGCGUAGCCUAGCUCUAGCGCGAUACUCCGCGCCGUCAUGUUAAAGGAUGUACGAGCUUUCAUGCCUCUAGUAAUCGUUUCGAAGAAUUUUUAAUCUAUCGCGGAAAAUCGCAUAUUUAGUCCCUCUUCUUCUUUCUACUAUUUUCUUUUUGAAUACGAAGCGUUGCGACGAAUAUCGUUUAUUGCUUUGCUUAAAAAUUGUUUGAUUCGACGAGCCGAAUUUUAGACGCUAUUUGCGUAACGUAGAUGAAUAUCUUCUAUAUAAAUCGAAAGAAUUAUUCUAAACGAAAGAAUUUUUCAUUUUGCCUCGCACUAGGUGGAAGUAUUUCUUAAUUUCGACUAUGACUCUCCGAUUUUUCGACAAUCGCUAUUAUGAUUCGGCGAAACGGACGAUAAGCGGGAGGUUCGUGUAUCCUGAAAAAUACUUGAACCGCGUGUGUCACUCAUUGAUACUCGAUCUAACAUACAAUUUUUUACGUUUCGCAAAUAAAUCGAUUAUUCUCGAGUGAUUUUCUAAAACUCUUCGUCAAACCUUCAUUUCUGUUCUUCCUCGUGAUCGAAAUUUUCUUUUACAUGAAUAUAAAAUUCGUAAUUUUGGAAUUAAGAGAAAUUUCCCGACCUUGGUAGGACCACGUUGCGGAAAUCGAAGGAACGGAACCGUGGCAUCGCGGAGGGUUGAAAAGUCGAACGAUCGUAAAAAAGCCGCGUAGAACGAAGGGUGUGCGUGGCCUCGCAGCGAGAAAAUUCCGCGCAUCCUGCGCGUGUCUGACCUCCUGGCAGUUAUUUCCCCGUCCCCUGCCACUCAAGCGCCAUUUCCACCCCCGACAUCUCCCGCCGCCCCUGUCCUUCUCCUUUUAGUCCUUUUUAUCGCGGUCGACGCGAGUCGAGAUACUUUUAUUUCAUGGCUGCGAGGUCGCAUCCGCGUUUCACAACGAUCCACGCGGCUUAACCUAUAUCGCCCUCUGUCCUUGAUAAACUGUUACGAUCGGCCGUGAAUCGCUUUCCGCGUGAUAUUCGCUAGUCCAACGACGUUUAUCGCGUGUAAAUUGGAAGUUUGGAUCGGAUUUCGCUACGUCUCUAUCGAAGCAGAAGCGAGAGAUUCGUCGUUCCUCGAUCGACCACGAACCUGAUUAUUUUCAUAGAAAAGGAUCUUGGCAAAUUUAACCAUAGAAAUAUUCUUUUUUCUCUUACCGAUUUUUUCUAAAUAUCUGCGAGAAUGCCGUAUUAUGUGUAAAUGUCGAGAAUGUUGACCUUGAAGUAACCAACGCGUGCUGCACUUUAAGACCAGUUUCCAGGAGUUUGUUUCAAGCGACGAUCGAUGGCCCACGAACUGAUGAAUAAGUCAAGUGAUUUUGUCGUACGAGAUAUAGCAGAGACUGCAUUAAUUAUCGAUGAUAGCGAUACAAAGUGAAGGCGAAUUAACAGCGCGUAACAGGUACGACUUCGCGAAGUUUGUACUU